rnacentral:rRNA from 1 species
AGUGAACGCUGGCGGUAGGCCUAACACAUGCAAGUCGAACGGCAGCACAGUAAGAGCUUGCUCUUACGGGUGGCGAGUGGCGGACGGGUGAGGAAUACAUCGGAAUCUACUUUUUCGUGGGGGAUAACGUAGGGAAACUUACGCUAAUACCGCAUACGACCUACGGGUGAAAGCAGGGGAUCUUCGGACCUUGCGCGAUUGAAUGAGCCGCUGUCGGGUUAGCUAGUUGGCGGGGUAAAGGCCCAGCAAGGCGACGAUCCGUAGCUGGUCUGAGAGGAUGGUCGGCGACACUGGAACUGAGACACGGUCAAGACUCCUACGGGAGGGAGCAGUGGGGAAUAUUGGACAAUGGGCGCAAGCCUGAUCCAGCCAGACCGCGUGGGUGAAGGAGGCCUUCGGGUUGUAAAGCCCUUUUGUGGGGAGAGAAAAGCAGCAGGUUAAUACCACGCUGUUCUGACGGUACCCAAAGAAUAAGCACCGGCUAACUUCGUG